AAAAAAUUUUGAUCAUAAAAAUCUUUAUUUCAGUUUUCUGUCUGCUUAAUUUCAAGAAAAAAUAAUUUUUUAAAAAAUUAUUUUUUAAAUUUUAUGACAAAUUAAUUUUUUUGUUUCCCAAAUUUUUUUUAGGAAAACAAAAAUAUUAGUUUUGUAUAAAAUUUGAAAAAGAAGUUUGUUGAGAAAAUUGAAAAAAUAUUGAAUAAAAUGUUGAAGGCAAAAAUUGUAUGGACAUAGUAUC
rnacentral:lncRNA from 1 species